rnacentral:lncRNA from 1 species
UCCUUCUCCUCGCGCAGCAGCUUGUGGAUCUGGUUGGCCUUGAUGCGCUCCGACAUCAGCUUGAAGUUGGCGUCGUCCUUCUCGCGCAGCUGCUGCAGCAGCCGCAGGUUCUGCUCCUGCAUGUCCUCGAAGGCCUGCCCCGUCACGUCCAUCUCCGACAGCAGCGCCUCCUCCUCCUGCCAACGGGGACGGGGCGGGCGUCGGGACAAGGCGGCAAGAUGGCCGCCGGGACAAGAUGGCCGCCGGGGCAAGAUGGCCGCCAUGGCAAGAUGGCUACCAGACAAGAUGGAUGCCAGAACAAGAUGGCUGCCGGGACAAGAUGGCCACCAUGGCAAGAUGGCCAUCAGGACAAGAUGGCUACCGGGACAAGAUGGCCACCAUGGCAAGAUGGCCACCAGACAAGAUGGCUACCGGGACAAGAUAGCUGCCAGAACAAGAUGGCUGCUGGGACAAGAUGGCUGCCAGGACAAGAUGGCCGCCAGACAAGAUGGCUGCCGAGACAAGAUGACCACCAGGACAAGAUGGCUGCCAGAACAAGAUGGCUGCCAGGACAAGAUGGCCGCUGGGACAAGAUGGCCACCGGAAAAAAAAAAGAUGGCUGCCAGGACAAGAUGGCUACCAGGACAAGAUGGCCGCCAGGACAAGAUGGCCGCCAUGGCAAGAUGGCCUCCAGACAAGAUGGCUACCGGGACAAGAUGGCUGCCGGGACAAGAUGGCCACCAUGGCAAGAUGGCCAUUAGGACAAGAUGGUUACCGGGACAAAAUGGCUGCCGGGACAAGAUGGCCACCAGGAGAAGAUGUCUGCCAGAACAAGAUGGCUGCUGGGACAAGACGGCUGCCAGAACAAGAUGGCUGCCAGGACAAGAUGGCUGCCAGGGCAAGAUGGCCGCUGGGACAAGAUGGCCACCGGGAAAAGAUGGCUGCCAGGACAAGAUGGCUGCCAGGACAAGAUGACCACCAGGACAAGAUGGCUGCCAGAACAAGAUGGCUGCCAGGACAAGAUGGCCGCUGGGACAAGAUGUCCACCGGAAAAAAAAAGAUGGCUGCCAGGACAAG